GGGGGUGAAAUUUUGGUUUCGACGGGAUUGAGGAGACUUAGAACUGCGUACCGUGUUCCCCGAAGACACGUAAAAAAAUUGGGAACAAAAAUAUAACUGGCGAAUAUAACUACGCCUUAGCUGCGUAAUAAACCACGCAGCUCGUUCUUCUUUCUCCUUUUUACCGGGGUUAGAAUGAACGCCGUUUAGGUAAAAUAGCUGAAUCUUUCGUCUGCGAAGAUGAAGCGAAUUAAAUAGCAGACAGACUUUAAGUGAUCUUUGUCUGUUUGGCAGCUUAAAGUCAAAAAGAAACAGACUAUGUAUGUAGACGUUCUCAGGCUCUUAAUUUCGGACCGGGGUUCGACUCCCCGCACCUCCACCA
rnacentral:tmRNA from 1 species